rnacentral:rRNA from 1 species
CCCUUAGAUGUUCUGGGCCGCACGCGCGCUACACUGAUGUAUUCAACGAGCACUAACCUGUGCAGAAAUGUUCGGGUAAUCUUGUGAAAUUUCAUCGUGAUGGGGAUUGAUUAUUGCAAUUAUUAAUCAUAAACGAGGAAUGCCUAGUAAGCGUGAGUCAUCAGCUCACGUUGAUUACGUCCCUGCCCUUUGUACGCACCGCCCGUCGCUCCUACCGAUUGAAUGUGCUGGUGAAAAGUUCGGAUUGGGAAUAGGAGACGGCAACGUAUCCUGUUUCUGAGAAAAUCUUUAAACCCUCCCAUUUAGAGGAAGGAGAAGUCGUAACA